rnacentral:lncRNA from 1 species
AUUAAUAAAAAAGUUCGAAUUUGAAAACAUAUAAUCUAAAACUAUAACAAAUUUUUUUUUUAAUUUUUUAAAUUUACUUUUAUUUAUUUUUUAUAUAUCUAGGAUGUUAGGGUCUUUUUACCUAUUAAAUGAAACAUUUUGGUCAUUUUCCUCCUUGUGAUAUAUUUUUGUGACCAAAAAUUGAAAAUGAUCUAUUUAGGAGAAUUGCUCUACAAAAAUGAUAUAUUAAUCAUAAAAAAGUAGCAAUAAAC